GACGAACGCUGGCGGCGUGCUUAACACAUGCAAGUCGAACGGAAAGGCCCUGCUUUUGUGGGGUGCUCGAGUGGCGAACGGGUGAGUAACACGUGAGUAACCUGCCCUUGACUUUGGGAUAACUUCAGGAAACUGGGGCUAAUACCGGAUAGGAGCUCCUGCUGCAUGGUGGGGGUUGGAAAGUUUCGGCGGUUGGGGAUGGACUCGCGGCUUAUCAGCUUGUUGGUGGGGUAGUGGCUUACCAAGGCUUUGACGGGUAGCCGGCCUGAGAGGGUGACCGGCCACAUUGGGACUGAGAUACGGCCCGGACUCCUACGGGAGGCAGCAGUGGGGAAUAUUGCACAAUGGGCGGAAGCCUGAUGCAGCAACGCCGCGUGCGGGAUGACGGCCUUCGGGUUGUAAACCGCUUUCGCCUGUGACGAAGCGUGAGUGACGGUAAUGGGUAAAGAAGCACCUGCUAACUACGUG
rnacentral:rRNA from 1 species